AAGUCGUAACAAGGUUUCCGUAGGUGAACCUGCGGAAGGAUCAUUAUCGAAUAAACUUGAACAGGUUGUUGCUGGCCCCUGGGCAUGUGCACGCUUGUCCAUCUUUAUCAUUUCUCCAACUUGUGCACUUAUUGUAGACCUUUAGAUUUGGGGACUGCUGUGCUUUUCAUCAGUCGGCUUUCCCUUUCUUUUAUUAAGGUCUAUAUGAUUUUCACAAUCUCAUAAAUGUCGAAUGUAUGUUAAAAACAAAAGAAAUAUAUACAACUUUCAGCAACGGAUCUCUUGGCUCUCGCAUCGAUGAAGAACGCAGCGAAAUGCGAUAAGUAAUGUGAAUUGCAGAAUUCAGUGAAUCAUCGAAUUUUUGAACGCAUCUUGCGCUCCUUGGUAUUCCAAGGAGCAUGCCUGUUUGAGUGUCAUCAAGUUCUCAACCACAUAUUUUUUGUGGCUUGGAUUGUGGGGGUGUUGCCGGCUUUUAUACAAGUAGGCUCUCCUUAAAUGCAUAAGUGGUAUUUAGAAAAGCUACGUGGCGGGUGUUAUAAAUUGAUAAUACACCUGUUUGGCAAUUCCAAUAUACUGCUUCCAACCCUUUGUUUUGAUAAUUUUGACCUCAAAUCAGGUAGGACUACCCGCUGAACUUAAGCAUAUCAAUAAGCGGAGGAAAAGAAACUAACAAGGAUUCCCUCAGUAACUGCGAGUGAAGUGGGAAAAGCUCAAAUUUGAAAUCUGGCAGGUUCUACACACUGUCCGAAUUGUAAUCUAAAGAAGUGCUAUCUGUGCUGGACCAUGUAAAAGUCUUCUGGAAUGGAGCAUCAUAGAGGGUGAGAAUCCCGUCUUUGACAUGGACUACCAGUAUGUUUAUGGUACACUCUCAAAGAGUCGAGUUGUUUGGGAAUGCAGCUCAAAAUGGGUGGUAAAUGCCAUCUAAAGCUAAAUAUUGGCGAGAGACCGAUAGCGAACAAGUACCGUGAGGGAAAGAUGAAAAGAACUUUGGAAAGAGAGUUAAACAGUACGUGAAAUUGCUGAAAGGGAAACGCUUGAAGUCAGUCAUGUCAGCUGGAAAUCAGGCUUGCUUCUGCAAGGUGCACUUUCUAGUUGAUAGGUCAGCAUCAAUUUUGACCGUUGGAUAAAGGCAUUGGGAAUGUGGCAUCUUUGGAUGUGUUAUAGCCCAUUGUUGGAUACAGCGGUUGGGAUUGAGGAACUCAGCAUGCCCCCUUGGGGUUCAGGUCUCGGCCAUGUUCAUGCUUAGGAUGCUGGCGUAAUGGCUUUAAUCGACC
rnacentral:rRNA from 1 species